ACAGCUAUACCACAUCGAAACCACCUGUUCUCAUCCGAUCACCGAAGUUAAGCAAUGUUGGGCCCGGUCAGUACUUGGGAGGGUGACCAACUGGGAACACCGGGUGUUGUAGGCU
rnacentral:rRNA from 1 species